rnacentral:rRNA from 1 species
GACGAACGCUGGCGGCGUGCCUAAUACAUGCAAGUUGAGCGCUGAAGGUUGGUACUUGUACCAACUGGAUGAGCAGCGAACGGGUGAGUAACGCGUGGGGAAUCUGCCUUUGAGCGGGGGACAACAUUUGGAAACGAAUGCUAAUACCGCAUAAAAACUUUAAACACAAGUUUUAAGUUUGAAAGAUGCAAUUGCAUCACUCAAAGAUGAUCCCGCGUUGUAUUAGCUAGUUGGUGAGGUAAAGGCUCACCAAGGCGAUGAUACAUAGCCGACCUGAGAGGGUGAUCGGCCACAUUGGGACUGGGACACGGCCCAAACUCCUACGGGAGGCAGCAGUAGGGAAUCUUUGGCAAUGGACGAAAGGCUGACCGAGCAACGCCGCGUGAGUGAAGAAGGUUUUCGGAUCGGAAAACUCUGUUGGUAGAGAAGAACGUUGGUGAGAGUGGAAAGCUCAUCAAGUGACGGUAACUACACAGAAAGGGACGGCUAACUACGUG